UGUUGAUAGCAACAGUGAUAUUAUUGCAAUGGAAUUCUUGUUAUGGUGAUCAUUCCUCUACAUCGUCGUGUUCGUCCUCUUCUUCAUCAUCAUCCGGUCACCACUGCAUUAAUUGUCUUAUAUAUUACUCUAAGGAGUAUUGUAAUUCUAUUGGGAAGGAUCAAAUUGAAGCUACGUGUUAUAGAUGUUCGGCUUGUGUAGACCGGAAGCCAUGCAAUUGUUAAUUUUGCUCUACAAGAUGGUAUGGACCAUGUAUAAAUUGUUUUGCAUAUUAUUCCAAAGAGUACUGCGCCACCUUGGGAAAGGACCAAAUUGAACAAACCUGCCACAGAUGCUCAGAAUGUGUUGAUAAGCCCAUUAAAACUGAUUUAUCAAUCCAGGAUGAAAGUAUUGAUUUAAAUAAUAUUCAUAUUGUAUGCUAAACAUUGUAAUAUUUUUAAAUUUGUUAAACUUAGUAUCGAAAAUAAACCUGUUUUAAGUUUUUAAUUUUCA